AGGAAUCUGCCUGGUAGUGGGGGAUAACGUCCGGAAACGGGCGCUAAUACCGCAUACGUCCUGAGGGAGAAAGUGGGGGAUCUUCGGACCUCACGCUAUCAGAUGAGCCUAGGUCGGAUUAGCUAGUUGGUGGGGUAAAGGCCUACCAAGGCGACGAUCCGUAACUGGUCUGAGAGGAUGAUCAGUCACACUGGAACUGAGACACGGUCCAGACUCCUACGGGAGGCAGCAGUGGGGAAUAUUGGACAAUGGGCGAAAGCCUGAUCCAGCCAUGCCGCGUGUGUGAAGAAGGUCUUCGGAUUGUAAAGCACUUUAAGUUGGGAGGAAGGGCAGUAAGCUAAUACCUUGCUGUUUUGACGUUACCAACAGAAUAAGCACCGGCUAACUUCGUGCCAGCAGCCGCGGUAAUACGAAGGGUGCAAGCGUUAAUCGGAAUUACUGGGCGUAAAGCGCGCGUAGGUGGUUCAGCAAGUUGGAUGUGAAAUCCCCGGGCUCAACCUGGGAACUGCAUCCAAAACUACUGAGCUAGAGUACGGUAGAGGGUGGUGGAAUUUCCUGUGUAGCGGUGAAAUGCGUAGAUAUAGGAAGGAACACCAGUGGCGAAGGCGACCACCUGGACUGAUACUGACA
rnacentral:rRNA from 1 species